rnacentral:rRNA from 1 species
GAUCGUAAAGCACUUUCGCCAGGGAUGAUAAUGACAGUACCUGGUAAAGAAACCCCGGCUAACUCCGUGCCAGCAGCCGCGGUAAUACGGAGGGGGUUAGCGUUGUUCGGAAUUACUGGGCGUAAAGCGUACGUAGGCGGAUUGGAAAGUUGGGGGUGAAAUCCCAGGGCUCAACCCUGGAACUGCCUCCAAAACUAUCAGUCUAGAGUUCGAGAGAGGUGAGUGGAAUUCCAAGUGUAGAGGUGAAAUUCGUAGAUAUUUGGAGGAACACCAGUGGCGAAGGCGGCUCACUGGCUCGAUACUGACGCUGAGGUACGAAAGUGUGGGGAGCAAACAGGAUUAGAUACCCUGGUAGUCCACACCGUAAACGAUGAAUGCCAGUCGUCGGGCAGUAUACUGUUCGGUGACACACCUAACGGAUUAAGCAUUCCGCCUGGGGAGUACGGUCGCAAGAUUAAAACUCAAA